UAACAUCACAGUGCACUGUUGAAUACUUGAACGUAUGUUUGGAAUGAUUUCUUCCUUUUUUUUAAGUAGUAGUACAUGACAAUAUUGAUUACUGUUUUUUAUAGAAAGACUAGGAGACUAGUGUAUAAAUGUGAGCACCGGGAUUUAAACCCUGGUUGGUGGAGUCGUGCCCCCACAACUACAGGCUACAGCACCGCGCCAUUGAUCAUUGAUAAGGGGGAGAAAUGUUCAAACAACCCCUGAAAAAGCAAAUUUACAUUUUUUGUUUUGUUUUCGGUCUAGGAAACAAUCAUGAAAGAGAAAUGAGGAGAAAUUCCGACUUAAGGUGACAGAGGGAAAAUGAAAAAGUGAAUAGUUGUUACAUCAAGUUUAUUCUUUUGAUAUUUCCAUUUUGAAUUAAAAUAUUUAAAAUGUUCAGUGCCGAUGACAUUUGUUUUUGAAGAAACAAUGGUUGUGUCUAAAACAUUCCUCAUAAAGAAAAAAAUGUUGCACUGUUGUGAUUUGAUGCGAAGAACAAGUAAUCUUCCAUGAGUUCUCAUGAGAAAAUAGGGAUCUCUUCUUGAAAAUUUCAAGAUGAAUUUAUCAUAACAUAUGUUCUUUAGCUUUAAUUUUAAUGUUCUAGUAUUUUUCUUAUUACUCCCUCUGUAAAGAAAUAUAAGAGCGUUUAGAUCACUAUUUUAAUUUUUUCGAUGAUAAGUAUUUCUUUACGGAGGGAGUACAUAACAAUCUCUCGUAAAAGCACUUACAGAUGACCAGUAAUAGUAGAGAUAGAGAUAUCAAUGGCAUAUGUCCCAAUCACUUUACAUGUCCCUUGAAUGCAGCUUACUUGUUCAGCUGCUUGCCAUGCUAGAUAAGUGAUAUACUCUAAAAAGAAAUAUCUGAAAACAUCACAUAUUCCAGGGUAAUCCAAAUGUAAUAUGUAAGAUCUCAGUGGGUCAUAUUUUUUGUGUUGGGUGUAUUUAGCAUCAACUUUAUUGAUCCAUGAUACAGGCUGCCAGGAAGAAACAACCUAGAGGAUGGAUGCUCGAACAUGCAAGGAGAAGCUUCAUCCCAUGCUGGAAAUCAGUGCUAUCAUCAACCAAGUUGGAAGCAAAGGCAUCUCCCUUUAGUCCCUUGAUAGAACUAAAAAGCAUGAGAGAGACUCAGGAAAUUUGGAAUAAAUCAGCAGCCGAAAGAUCCUCUUCAGUUCCAACUAAAAAUCUUGGUUUGCUGGGAAGAGUUCCGCAAUUAACAAGUAGUUAUCAAUCCAGAAGGCUGUUCUGUACUGCUGCAUUGACGGCCUUCAAACUUUUAAAGCAUGCAUGAGUUGAGAGUUCCUCAGAAGAGAAGUUACUUCUAUCUCAAAUCAUUUUCAAGUCUGCUUAUUAUUGCUUGCAUGCUAUCUAGCCAGUGUGGCUUUCGAUCUACGUAGCUACAGAAGUGCCUGUUUCUGACCUUAUGCACAGAUGUGGUGCAAAACAUAUUUUAUUUCAGUGGCUUGCUCCUAACGCGCUCUUAUAUAUUUUAUUUUAGUGGCAUGCUCGCUUAAGCGCGUAUGUAUCCCUUACAUUUGCCUGGAUGUAUCUCACAUUUGCCUGGAUUUAAAGCUACCUAUAGUAGCAUUUGAACCGCUC